rnacentral:rRNA from 1 species
UACGGGAGGUGCAAGCGUUGUUCGGAGUGACUGGGCGUAAAGCGCACGUAGGUGGGCUUGUAAGUCGAAUGUGAAAUCCCCGGGCUUAACCUGGGAAUUGCGAUGGAGACUGCAAGGCUGGAGUUUGGCAGAGGGGGGUAGAAUUCCACGUGUAGCAGUGAAAUGCGUAGAGAUGUGGAGGAACACCGAUGGCGAAGGCAGCCCCCUGGGUCAAAACUGACGCUCAUGCACGAAAGCGUGGGGAGCAAACAGG